CCUACGGGUUGCACCAGUAGGGAAUCUUCGGCAAUGGACGGAAGUCUGACCGAGCAACGCCGCGUGAGUGAAGAAGGUUUUCGGAUCGUAAAGCUCUGUUGUAAGAGAAGAACGAGUGUGAGAGUGGAAAGUUCACACUGUGACGGUAUCUUACCAGAAAGGGACGGCUAACUACGUGCCAGCAGCCGCGGCAAUACGUAGGUCCCGAGCGUUGUCCGGAUUUAUUGGGCGUAAAGCGAGCGCAGGCGGUUAGAUAAGUCUGAAGUUAAAGGCUGUGGCUUAACCAUAGUACGCUUUGGAAACUGUUUAACUUGAGUGCAAGAGGGGAGAGUGGAAUUCCAUGUGUAGCGGUGAAAUGCGUAGAUAUAUGGAGGAACACCGGUGGCGAAAGCGGCUCUCUGGCUUGUAACUGACGCUGAGGCUCGAAAGCGUGGGGAGCAAACAGGAUUAGAUACCCGUGUAGUC
rnacentral:rRNA from 1 species